AUUGAACGCUGGCGGCAGGCUUAACACAUGCAAGUCGAGCGGAGAUGAGGUGCUUGCACCUUAUCUUAGCGGCGUACGGGUGAGUAAUGCUUAGGAAUCUGCCUAUUAGUGGGGGACAACAUUCCGAAAGGAAUGCUAAUACCGCAUACGCCCUACGGGGGAAAGCAGGGGAUCUUCGGACCUUGCGCUAAUAGAUGAGCCUAAGUCGGAUUAGCUAGUUGGUGGGGUAAAGGCCUACCAAGGCGACGAUCUGUAGCGGGUCUGAGAGGAUGAUCCGCCACACUGGGACUGAGACACGGCCCAGACUCCUACGGGAGGCAGCAGUGGGGAAUAUUGGACAAUGGGCGGAAGCCUGAUCCAGCCACGCCGCGUGUGUGAAGAAGGCCUUUUGGUUGUAAAGCACUUUAAGCGAGGAGGAGGCUACCUGGAUUAAUACUCUAGGAUAGUGGACGUUACUCGCAGAAUAAGAACCGGCUAACUCUGUGCCAGCCGCCGCAGUAAGAC
rnacentral:rRNA from 1 species